rnacentral:sRNA from 1 species
ACAGAUGCCAGAAGAACACUGUUGCUCUUGGUGGAUGGGCCCAGAGGAAUUCAGAGUUAAACCUUGAGUGCCUGCGUCCGUGCGAAUUCAGCAUGGAAUGUCUCUACUAUUUCCUGGGAUUUCUGCUCCUGGCUGCAAGAUUGCCACUUGAUGCCGCCAAACGAGACCCCGCGGCCGCGCCCUAACCCUGGGUCUCCCGACUGCGACUGCGACCCUGGAAAACGCCUGCGUUUUUGGAAAGGAAGUCCCAUCACGGGGAGCUGACCCAGUGUCAGCGCGUAGCACGUGCCGGGCCCGCAGUGCGCCGCGCGUCCUCCUAGCAGCCCGCGGAGCCCGGCGCUGUGAUGGUCCCGCUUCCCACACGAGGACACGGGCCGCAGAGUGGGCAAGGAACUCGCCCCAAGCCACACAGCGGAUCUAAGGAAGAGGAAGACUUUCUGGAACAGUGGAAAGAACUUGUCCUGGGAAUCAAAAGAUGUGAAUCUUGAUUUCUACUAAAGAUGACCCUAGGAUUUCAUGAUGUGCUGGGCAAUGAAAGACCUUCUGCUUACAUGAGGGAGCACAAUCAAUU